rnacentral:rRNA from 1 species
CCUACGGGGGACAUCAGUGAGGAAUAUUGGUCAAUGGUCGGGAGACUGAACCAGCCAAGCCGCGUGAGGGAUGAAGGUACAGAGUAUCGUAAACCUCUUUUGUCAGGGAACAAAGGCGGGGACGUGUCCCCGGAUGAGUGUACCUGAAGAAAAAGCAUCGGCUAACUCCGUGCCAGCAGCCGCGGUAAUACGGAGGAUGCGAGCGUUAUCCGGAUUUAUUGGGUUUAAAGGGUGCGCAGGCGGUCUGUAAAGUCAGCGGUAAAAGCCCGGGGCCAAACCCCGGCCCGCCGUUGAAACUGGCAGUCUCGAGUUGGAGAGAAGUAUGCGGAAGGCGCGGUGUAGCGGUGAAAUGCAUAGAUAUCGCGCAGAACUCCGAUUGCGAAGGCAGCAUGCCGGCUCCACACUGACGCUGAGGCACGAAAGCGUGGGUAUCGAACAGGAUUAGAUACCCUGGUAGUC